UUUCUAGGUGAAUGAAUUUGGCGUCAACAAUGUGCAAGAUUUAAUAUCAUAUGGAUACUUAAUAUAGUUAUUGUUAUAGAAGAGACCAAACUCAAAUAUAUUAGAGGCUCGUGUGUCAAAUAAAAAUAACUGGAGCCAUUCGUAAGCACUGCAGGUCGAAUGCAUUCUUCGAAGACUUUUAUGAUAUACUGAAACUACUGAUUUCCAUAUUUAAUGAACAAGGAUUUGAACUAUAGAUCAGCGGCUUGCCUAAUGUAGAUAUCGAGGAUCUUAAAGCAAAUAUUGAGCAGCAAAUACAUUGCUACGUCUUUACAGAUUCAAUGGUUCUGGCGUGCAUUACGAGGUUUUGAUCAAGCGGAUCAUGCGAAGUUCUUACAAUUCGUUCCUGGUACGUCCAAAGUGCCGUUACAAGGUUUUGCCGCGUUGGAAGGCAUGAACGGUGUACAAAAGUCCCAAAUUCACAGAGAAGAUAGGUCAACAGAUAGACUUCCAUCUGCACAUACUUGUUUCAGUCAACUGGAUCUGCCAGUGUACGGGGCGUAUAAUGAACUCCAUACAAAUCUACUCAAGGCGAUUCAUGAAUGCAACGAAGGAUUUGGAUUUGCAUAAGCUUGUUGGAGCGCUAUUGUGUAGCAAUUUUUCAUACAUGUGUUGUCCCGCCUGUUCGGAGUAAACGUUACAAGAAUUCAAUCGAUGACAUUCUAAUGACACGCUUGGUCUUUAUUCAAGAUCUAAUGAAAAAUUUGUUUAACUCGAUAUAUACAUGUAAGAUGCACGGAUAUGUAUAAAUAUAAAUAAUUAGUUAGUAUUUAUAAUUAUAACUAAUUUUUAAUUAUAAUAAUGAUCAUUAAAUAUUUUAAUAUUAAUCAUUCAAAAUGUGAUGUUAAACAAGUGUAAUUUCUUUUUCGUGAAAUCUAACGAAAUAGAGUUUACAAUUGAACAGACGUUGCUUCAUGAACACAUCAAAUGGAUCAAUUUAUUAGUGAAACACCGAACGAGCACCGUUAUAUUAUAGUUACCGAACUCAUUGUUAGGGAAUUAUUUGUUAAGGAUCGCAGAAUAAAGUAGGUAAAUGUUGUAUUUCUUAUAAAAAAAUGAGCAGUUAUUCUUUUAUUAUUUUACAGAGUCCUUAAUUGCCAAUUUCCGAGUUCCCUGAAUAGACAAAUAUCAAUAAUGUUGCGUAUAAUUUGACGAUGUUUAGUCUCCCUUUAAAGUUAGCUUAACUUUAUGUAUAACCAAUUAUUGUACGAUUAAUUACCUGAGAGUUUAUGUAUAGCAUGAAAACAUAUAUUUCAAAUUUACAUAGUCGUAUAAAUGUAAUAAUCCAUAUUAGCAAUUAGAGCACUGUGAUUUGUGACGUUCACAAGAUAGUUUUACAUAUAACGUUGCAUGUAACAUUUUUUGUAAGUAC